rnacentral:sRNA from 1 species
GAGCUUCCACCCCUACGACCAGUAGCCCAGCACCUGCAGUAUCCACUUCAACAUCAUCAUCCACCCCUUCCUCUACCACUUCUACCACAACAACUGCUACUUCAGUUGCGCAGACAGUAUCAAGCUAGGUCUAUGCUAGACCAACAAUUCAUUCCUGGGCCCCUGAAGAUACUUGUUUGGCCCUGCUGUCUAUUUAGCCAAGCACCCACAACACAAGAUCAGACCCCAAGUUCUGCUGUUUCAGUUGCCACGCCUACAGUUAGUGUUUCAACUCCUGCUCCUACAGCCACACCUGUGCAAACCGUUCCCCAGCCGCACCCUCAGACGUUACCUCCUGCUGUUCCUCAUUCAGUACCUCAGCCAACAACAGCAAUACCUGCUUUUCCACCAGUAAUGGUACCUCCGUUUCGUGUUCCCCUUCCUGGCAUGCCAAUUCCACUUCCAGGUGUAUUGCCAGGAAUGGCCCCUCCUAUCGUACCCAUGAUACAUCCCCAGGUUGCUAUUGCAGCUUCACCUGCUACCUUAGCUGGAGCAACAGCAGUUUCUGAAUGGACUGAAUAUAAAACAGCAGAUGGGAAGACAUAUUAUUAUAAUAAUAGAACAUUAGAAUCAACCUGGGAAAAACCCCAAGAACUAAAGGAAAAAGGUAUAUAAUGGUUUUAAUGACUUGGAAAGUAGUAUAAACUGUAAUAAGUAGAAUGGUAUUUGAAA